UACAGAGGGGGCAAGCGUUGUUCGGAAUUACUGGGCGUAAAGGGCGCGUAGGCGGCCUUCUAAGUCGAACGUGAAAUCCCUGGGCUCAACCCAGGAACUGCGUCCGAUACUGGAAGGCUUGAAUCCGGGAGAGGGAUGCGGAAUUCCAGGUGUAGCGGUGAAAUUCGUAGAUAUUAGGAAGAACACCGGUGGCGAAGGCGGCCCACUGGACGGAUACUGACGCUGAGACACGAAAGCGUGGGGAGCAAACAGG
rnacentral:rRNA from 1 species